CACUACAUUCCCUAACCCCAAACUCGUGACAGAUGCGAGGUUUUUGAUACAAAUAAAAAUACUUUCUUUUUCCAUUUUUAAACCAGAAAAUAAAAUAAUAUUUAAAUUGUAUAAAAUGAAACCAUCAACAAUUUCAAUUUCAGCGAGCGAAAAAGAGAAGAAAAUUGCGAGGCAAAAAACGCGCAGAGCUUUAUUUUUCAGAGAAGGUCGCCUUUAAACCGUAAUUAAAUUCAGUUCAUCGAUUUGAUUCCUUAUAAAACCCUAAUUGGAGAACAACGAUUCUUUCAAGGUAAACAAUUGAAAUGCAUUGUUCAUGUUGAGGUGGAGACUUGAACCCAAGUCUGUGAAAGCAUUUCUAAGUUGAUAACUUCUGGUAUUCUUUAACGUGGAAUUUUCUUUAAUUUAUCCAAAAAUCAAACAAGAACGUGCUGGAAUGUUCUGAAAGUUGGGAGUGUUACCAGUUAUCCUAAUCACAAUGACUAUCACAUAGGACGAUCAAGGCAGGAGUAUUGUCAACUGAUGUUGACUUGCCAUAUAUUAUGCAAUAUAUGUAUGUUGUCGUCUGCAGUAAAGGAAAUUAGUUAAUAUCAGAAAGAAUGUCGAGGGGUCAAUCUCAGCGAAGAGUUGAUUCUCAGAAGAGAUCCUUAGAAAGAUGCAAGUUAAAAGGAAAAUAUAAUAAUGUUGUUGACAUUGAUAGUGACAGAAUCGCUAAUUUAAUUAUUAUUGAUGCCCCAGAAACUUCAGAAGGGAUAGCUCCUGAUGCUAGUGUUUCUGGACAGGAAAAAACACCGGCAUGUAGGAAUAUCAUUUGUAUUGAUGAUGAUGAAAGUGGUGAUUGUGGCAGUUCUUCAGAUAGUCUUGAAGAGAGUGGAAAUCCAAAUUCUUAUUUCACCUCAAGUAACAAAUGUCGGCCUUCUUGUAAUCAAGGAAGGAAACUUUCCUCUAAAACAUCAAAUUGCUGGGCUACCUGCUCCAGUAAAAGAUCUUCCUCUGAUACUUCAUGUGAGAAUGAUGAUUCUGAUUGUGACAUUGAGGAAGAUCAUCUGGGAAAUAUUCGUCAACAGUGGGAAGAGGCUUCACUGAGGAAGAAGAGGUUUGAUAAUUUCCCAAGAGGCCAAUUUGAUUUCCAGAAUGAGGUUGGUCCUGUGGGAUUUGAUAUUGACUCUCGAAAUGAUAUUGAUGUAGAUAAAACAGUUGACGUGCCAAAAUCUUGUUCAUCCAAUGGAAAUCAUAGGAAUGAUAACUUAAGCACAUCUAAAUAUAUUGGUGAAGAUGCAAGUGUCAUUGCUAAUAAGUCAGACGGGGAGAGUUGGCACACAGAUAAGGAAAGGUCCAUUCAGCAGGAGAUGUAUAAAGAAUCUUCUGUUUGCUGCUCUAAAGUUGUAAAUGAGACAAAUGGUGAUGGUCCAUCUGGUGUCCCAAACUUUAUCGUUGGAAACAGAGAAAUGCUCAAGAAAACUGAUGCUUAUAGACGUGCUGAAGAAGAAGAAUGGGCAUCCAGGCAAAGAGAGUUACAAGCUCAGGCAGAAGAAGCACGGCGCUUGAAAAAGAGAAAAAAGGCUGAAAAUCUGCGUCUAAUAGAAACAGAGAGAAGGCAAAAACAGCGGCUGGAAGAGGUUCGAGAGGCACAGAAAAAGGAUGAAGAAACUCUGAACUUGAAGGAGCAGCUUCGGGUCGAGAUAAGGAGGGAACUGGAUAAACUGGAAGCUAACAGUCAAGAUAUGGCUUCACUUCUUCGUGGCCUUGGAAUUGAAGUUAGAGGUGAUUUGCCUUCUGAGAUACGUACGGCUUAUAAGAAAGCCCUGCUUCGGUUCCAUCCAGAUCGAGCAUCGCGAAGUGACAUUCAUCAGCAAAUUGAAGCCGAGGAGAAAUUUAAGCUUAUUUCACGUGCAAGAGAGAAAUUUAUGUUUUGACGUGAUGAGACAAUUAAGCUUAGUUUGAAAUUUUGAUCAUUCUUGCCACAUCUGUGUUAUAACUCAUGUUCACAAAGCUUUCAACGCGCAUAUAGAUCAGCAAAAGUAAUGUGUUUCUUUAAGAUAGGUGGUUAGGAUAAAACUCAGGCAGUGUUGGAAUGUUGAUUAGGAAACUGCAGACCUACGAGUCAAAGAUUAGAAUCUGAGCUCGGCUUAUUACACUUAUAUAGGAUUUGUAAUUGUUACAGAAGCACUCGUGUAUGAAAAAGUUGGGAAGAUCUGGAUUGUAUAAACUUUUCCUGGAUGAAAA